GUGGAGGCUCAGUGGUAGAACGUUCACCUGGCAUGUCUGAGGCCUGGGUUCGAUCCUCAGCACCACA
rnacentral:tRNA from 1 species